UACGGGGGGGGCAAGCGUUGUUCGGAAUUACUGGGCGUAAAGGGCGCGUAGGCGGCCUACUAAGUCGGACGUGAAAUCCCUCGGCUCAACCGAGGAACUGCGUCCGAUACUGGCGAGGCUUGAAUUCGGGAGAGGGAUGUGGAAUUCCAGGUGUAGCGGUGAAAUGCGUAGAUAUCUGGAGGAACACCGGUGGCGAAGGCGGCAUCCUGGACCGAGAUUGACGCUGAGGCGCGAAAGCUAGGGUAGCAAACAGG
rnacentral:rRNA from 1 species